UACGGAGGGAGCUAGCGUUGCUCGGAAUCACUGGGCGUAAAGGGCGCGUAGGCGGCCAAGUAAGUUGGGGGUGAAAGCCCGUGGCUCAACCACGGAAUUGCCUUCGAUACUGCUUGGCUUGAGACCGGAAGAGGUGAGUGGAACUGCGAGUGUAGAGGUGAAAUUCGUAGAUAUUCGCAAGAACACCAGUGGCGAAGGCGGCUCACUGGUCCGGAUCUGACGCUGAGGCGCGAAAGGCGUGGGGAGCAAACAGG
rnacentral:rRNA from 1 species